rnacentral:rRNA from 1 species
UAACCCGCACCACUUAUCGUGGUGGGAGACAGUGUCAGGCGGGCAGUUUGACUGGGGCGGUCGCCUCCUAAAAGGGAACGGAGGCGCUCAAAGGUUCCCUCAGAAUGGGUGGAAAUCAUUCAUAGAGUGUAAAGGCAUAAGGGAGCUUGACUGCGAGACCUACAAGUCGAGCAGGGUCGAAAGACGGACUUAGUGAUCCGGUG